GAAAAACCUUACCUACCCUUGACAUGUCACUAACGAAGUAGAGAUACAUUAGGUGCUCGUAAGAGAAAGUGAACACAGGUGCUGCAUGGCUGUCGUCAGCUCGUGUCGUGAGAUGUUGGGUUAAGUCCCGCAACGAGCGCAACCCUUGUCUUUAGUUGCUACGCAAGAGCACUCUAAAGAGACUGCCGGUGACAAACCGGAGGAAGGUGGGGAUGACGUCAAGUCCUCAUGGCCCUUAUGGGUAGGGCUUCACACGUCAUACAAUGGUGCAUACAGAGGGUUGCCAACCCGCGAGGGGGAGCUAAUCUCAGAAAAUGCAUCGUAGUCCGGAUCGUAGUCUGCAACUCGACUACGUGAAGCUGGAAUCGCUAGUAAUCGCGGAUCAGAAUGUCGCGGUGAAUACGUUCCCGGGUCUUGUACACACCGCCCGUCAUACCAUGGGAGUGGGUUUUGCCAGAAGCCGUUAGCCUAACCGCAAGGGGG
rnacentral:rRNA from 1 species